GCAGCGCAAGGGUGAGUAAUACAUGGCUAACAUACCCCAAACAUGAGAAUAACUAUUAGAAAUGAUAGCUAAUGCUCAAUAGUUUCUUAAGACCUCCUGGUCUAAAGAAUAAAGGUAGGGAUCCUUCGGGACCUUCCGGUUUGGGAGUGGGUCAUGGGCUAUCAGCUAGUUGGUGAGGUAAAGGCUCACCAAGGCUAAGACGGCUAGGCGAUCUGAGAGGAUGAUCGCCCACAUCGGGACUGAGACACUGCCCGGACUCCUACGGGAGGCUGCAGUCGAGAAUCUUCCGCAAUGGGCGCAAGCCUGACGGAGCGACGCCGCGUGAGGGACGAAGGCUUUAGGGUCGUAAACCUCUUUCGCUUGUUAAGAAAAGUGUAUGUUAAUAGCAUGCACCCUGACAAAGGCAAGUAAAGAAGCACCGGCUAAAUCCGUGCCAGCAGCCGCGGUAAUACGGAUGGUGCAAGCGUUACUCGGAAUCACUGGGCGUAAAGCGUUCGUAGGUGGUUUAUUAAGUUGGAUGCGUAAUCCCACGGCUUAACCGUGGAACUGCGUUCAAAACUGAUAAACUAGAGAGCAGUAGGGGACAAGGGAACUUCGGGUGGAGCGGUGAAAUGCGUAGAUAUCUGAAGGAACACCGAUGGCGAAAGCACUUGUCUGGGCUGAUUCUGACACUGAGGAACGAAAGCUAGGGUAGCGAACGGGAUUAGAUACCCCGGUAGUCCUAGCCGUAAACGAUGGAUACUAGC
rnacentral:rRNA from 1 species